rnacentral:rRNA from 1 species
UAUCUGCCCUUUGGCCUGGAAUAACACGAGGAAACUUGUGCUAAUACCGGAUAAGUCUUUACGGAGAAAGCUUUAUGCACCAUUGGAUGAGCCCGCACUUGAUUAGUUUGUUGGUGGGGUAAUGGCCUACCAAGACUGUGAUCAAUAGCUGAUUUGAGAGGAUGAUCAGCCACAUUGGGACUGAGACACGGCCCAAACUCCUACGGGAGGCAGCAGUGGGGAAUCUUGCACAAUGGAGGAAACUCUGAUGCAGCGAUGCCGCGUGAGUGAAGAAGGCCCUUGGGUUGUAAAGCUCUUUCGUCGGGGAAGAAAAUGACUGUACCCGAAUAAGAAGGUCCGGCUAACUUCGUGCCAGCAGCCGCGGUAAUACGAAGGGACCUAGCGU